GAUGAACGCUGGCGGCGUGCUUAACACAUGCAAGUCGAACGGAAAGGCCCUGCUUUUGUGGGGUGCUCGAGUGGCGAACGGGUGAGUAACACGUGAGUAACCUGCCCUUGACUUUGGGAUAACUUCAGGAAACUGGGGCUAAUACCGGAUAGGAGCUCCUGCUGCAUGGUGGGGGUUGGAAAGUUUCGGCGGUUGGGGAUGGACUCGCGGCUUAUCAGCUUGUUGGUGGGGUAGUGGCUUACCAAGGCUUUGACGGGUAGCCGGGCUGAGAGGGUGACCGGCCACAUGGGGACUGAGAUGCGGCACAGACUCCUACGGGAGGCAGCAGUGGGGAAUAUUGCACAAUGGGCGGAAGCCUGAUGCAGCAACACCGCGUGCGGGAUGACGGCCUUCGGGUUGUAAACCGCUUUCGCCUGUGACGAAGCGUGAGUGACGGUAAUGGGUAAAGAAGCACCGGCUAACUACGUG
rnacentral:rRNA from 1 species